UGCACUAGAAUUUCAUCACCGAAUUUUAUUACAAAAACUAUAAAACCCGGACUUUUGUCACUAUAACUAGGUUCAAUACAAAUACGAGUGGCAUGUGUAGUGUAAACAUGGCAGCCUCUUCCUUUCUCAAGGGAAGAAGCGCAGGAAGUUGUACCCGCGGCGUUGGGUGUCUUCCUGCAAUCACAGCCUUCUUGUCUCCUUUGGGAGCUGCUUAUGUGGUUUCCUACAGUUCAUGACAUCUCUGUGCCACUCAUCUGCUACUCAAUAGUCUGAGCCUGGAUACCACUUCACGGAAGUCGUUUUUCAAUAGCUUUUAGAGGAACCAACCUAGAAAGGGAACGCUAGGCCGCGUGGUUUUACCUACAGGAAUCGUAACCCACCGUAGAAGCCAUUAGUCCUUUAUGGAUUGUUUAGGACACCGAUUAACCUCUCUUCACUAUUGACCCUCAGGAGUUUGUGUGACCUCUUAUGAUGGUCAUUGAUACCCGACAAAAUGGUUUUUGUAUAUAUUACCGCAAUAACUGAUUGACCAUAAAAAUAUGACGAGUUGCAAUUCAGGGUCACCCCGCAUAUUUUACCUGAGUGGGUCGCUGUUUCCUUGAUAGAACGCUACUCUUAUCUAAUGUGAUUUUCGUGUUAUUUUCCUUUGUCCACAAAAAAGACCGCAUUGUUAUUUUCUUGUCCCUUAUUGUAUCCUCUUUUCUCCGUUACUUCCUU
rnacentral:lncRNA from 1 species